UAACUCCGAUAGCCAGCAUGUCAGCGGCUAUUACGGGAGGCGCUGCAAAGCUGAUUAACUCCGGUAUUUCACUGCGCUGUAAGACGCCGUGCGUCGGCCGGUUUCAUCAUAGGUCAGAUGCGAAAUCCCCGGGCCUUACACAUGGGAAACUGCAUUUGAAACCUGGUCUACCUAGAGUAUGGUAGAGGAAAGCGGAAUUUUCUGGUGUAGCGGUGAAAUGCGUAGAUAUCAGAAGGAUACAUCAAUGGCGAAGGCAGCCUCUCCUGGCCCAUAUCCUGACGCUGAGGUACGAACAGCGUGGGUAGCAAUACAGGAUUAGAUACCCUGGUAGUCCACGCCGUAUAACGAUGAUACCUAGCCGUUGGCGGGGAUUUACCCUCUAGUGGCGAAGCUAACGCGUUAAGUUAUCCGCCUGGGGAGUACGGCCGCAAGGCUAAAACUCAAAGGAAUUGACGGGGACCCGCACAAGCGGUGGAGCAUGUGGUUUAAUUCGAUGCAACGCGAAGAACCUUACCUGGUCUUGACAUCCUGCGAACUUUCUAGAAAUAGAUUGGUGCCUUCGGGAACGCAGUGACAGGUGCUGCAUGGCUGUCGUCAGCUCGUGUCGUGAGAUGUUGGGUUAAGUCCCGUAACGAGCGCAACCCCUAUCCUUAUUUGCCAGCACAUUAUGGUGGGAACUAUAAGGAGACUGCCGGUGAUAAACCGGAGGAAGGCGGGGAUGACGUCAAGUCAUCAUGGCCCUUACGACCAGGGCUACACACGUGCUACAAUGGGAAGGACAAAGAGCCGCGAAGCCGCGAGGUGUAGCUAAUCUCACAAAUCUUCUCGUAGUCCGGAUUGGAGUCUGCAACUCGACUCCAUGAAGUCGGAAUCGCUAGUAAUCGUAGAUCAGAAUGCUACGGUGAAUACGUUCCCGGGUCUUGUACACACCGCCCGUCAUACCAUGGGUAGUGGGUUGCACCAGUAUAGUGGCUAGUCUAACUUAGUGAGGACAUCACCA
rnacentral:rRNA from 1 species